rnacentral:sRNA from 1 species
GUCAGGAACCCAGGGGCUAAAGCACCUGGGCUUGUGUGGCAAGCGAAAGCCAAUCGCGACCCCACAACGUAAGUCCUGACUAGCCGCCACGGGCAAUCCGCGGGACAAACAACUGAGCCGACUGGGCGUGGCAGCUCGAACGACGAUGGGGACGCCUCCCUAAUCUCCAUCCUCUCGGUCGGCCAGUGGCGAAGGGAUCAGUUGUUCUGUCUGUAGAGAC